rnacentral:rRNA from 1 species
GAUGGCGGGAGGGAAACACCCGGUUCCAUCCCGAACCCGGCAGUUAAGCCUCCCAGCGCCGAUGGUACUGGGCCCACGUGGCCCGGGAGAGUAGGUCGCCGCCU